rnacentral:rRNA from 1 species
UACAGAGGUCUCAAGCGUUGUUCGGAUUCAUUGGGCGUAAAGGGUGCGUAGGCGGCGCGGUAAGUCGGGUGUGAAAUCUUGGAGCUUAACUCCGAAACUGCAUUCGAUACUGCCGUGCUUGAGGACUGGAGAGGAGACUGGAAUUUACGGUGUAGCGGUGAAAUGCGUAGAUAUCAGGAGGAACACCAGUGGCGAAGGCGGCUUUCUGGACGGUAACUGACGCUGAGACGCGAAAGCGUGGGGAGCAAACAGG